AUUGAACGCUGGCGGCAUGCCUUACACAUGCAAGUCGAACGGCAGCGCGGGGCAACCUGGCGGCGAGUGGCGAACGGGUGAGUAAUAUAUCGGAACGUACCCAAGAGUGGGGGAUAACGUAGCGAAAGUUACGCUCAUACCGCAUACGAUCUAAGGAUGAAAGUGGGGGAUCGCAAGACCUCAUGCUCCUGGAGCGGCCGAUAUCUGAUUAGCUAGUUGGUGAGGUAAAGGCUCACCAAGGCUACGAUCAGUAGCUGGUCUGAGAGGACGACCAGCCACACUGGAACUGAGACACGGUCCAGACUCCUACGGGAGGCAGCAGUGGGGAAUUUUGGACAAUGGGCGCAAGCCUGAUCCAGCAAUGCCGCGUGAGUGAAGAAGGCCUUCGGGUUGUAAAGCUCUUUUGUCAGGGAAGAAACGGUCUCAGCUAAUAUCUGGGGCUAAUGACGGUACCUGAAGAAUAAGCACCGGCUAACUACGUGCCAGCCGCCGCGGUAA
rnacentral:rRNA from 1 species